rfam:Gossypium hirsutum cultivar TM-1 unplaced genomic scaffold scaffold3620.1, whole genome shotgun sequence
UGUUAAAAAAUUCAUCAAUUUCUACUUUUAAAAAUUGGCGUGAGUGACAAAAUAUGAAGUUCAUUUUGUUGUACAUGAACUAGUUUUUAACAACAAAAAUAGAUAAAAUUUUUAACA